GCGGACGGGGUGCAGGCAGGCGGGGUGGUACGGGGGGUCUGGGCGUUGUCCGGAAUUCGGGGGCGUGAAGGGCGCGGAGGCGGUUGGACACGUCGGGAGUGAAAAGGCGGGGCUUACCCCCGGGCCUGCUUCCGAUACGGGCAGACUAGAGGUAGGCAGGGGAGAGCGGAACGCCUGGUGUAGCGGUGGAAUGCGCAGAUAUCAGGAAGAACACCGGUGGCGAAGGCGGCUCUCUGGGCCUUACCUGACGCUGAGGAGCGAAAGCGUGGGUAGCGAACAGGAUUAGAUACCCUUGUAGUC
rnacentral:rRNA from 1 species